CCCGACUGCUAUUUGGGUGAGAAUAAGCGCAUGCGAGUUGAAUGGGAUGCCUAAAUUUCCCAUAGCAAACUGCUCAGUAACACAUGAUCAACUUACCCUAUAGAGAAAAAUAACCUCGGGAAACUGAGGAUAAUAUUUCAUAGUUGAAACGGCUUGGAAAAGUGUUUCGACCAAAGGGAUAAGAAAAAUGGUUCUUCUCCGCUAUAGGAUAGGAUCGUGCUCGAUCAUGGUUGUUGGUGAGGUAACGGCUCACCAGGCCGAUAAUCGAUAGGGGCCGUGAGAGCGGGAGCCCCGAGAUGGGUACUGAGACAACGACCCAGGCCUUACGAGGCGCAGCAGGCGCGAAACCUCCGCAAUACACGAAAGUGUGACGGGGUUACCCAAAGUGUUCAUUAUUGAACUGUGGUAGGUGAGUAAUGUCCCCUACUAGAAAGGAGAGGGCAAGGCUGGUGCCAGCCGCCGCGGUAAAACCAGCUCUUCAAGUGGUCGGGAUAAUUAUUGGGCUUAAAGUGUCCGUAGCCGGUUUAGUAAGUUCCUGGUAAAAUCGGGUAGCUUAACUAUCUGUAUGCUAGGAAUACUGCUAUACUAGAGGGCGGGAGAGGUCUGAGGUACUACAGGGGUAGGGGUGAAAUCUUAUAAUCCUUGUAGGACCACCAGUGGCGAAGGCGUCAGACUGGAACGUGCCUGACGGUGAGGGACGAAAGCCAGGGGAGCGAACCGGAUUAGAUACCCGGGUAGUCCUGGCCGUAAACGAUGCAUACUAGGUGAUGGCACGGCCAUGAGCCGUGUCAGUGCCGUAGGGAAACCGUUAAGUGUGCCGCCUGGGAAGUACGGUCGCAAGGCUAAAACUUAAAGGAAUUGGCGGGGGAGCACCACAAGGGGUGAAGCCUGCGGUUC
rnacentral:rRNA from 1 species